rnacentral:rRNA from 1 species
GCACUUGUACUGUGAAACUGCGAAUGGCUCAUUAAAUCAGUUAUCGUUUAUUUGAUAGUACCUUACUACAUGGAUACCUGUGGUAAUUCUAGAGCUAAUACAUGCUAAAAACCCCGACUUCAGGAAGGGGUGUAUUUAUUAGAUAAAAAACCAACGCCCUUCGGGGCUCCUUGGUGAAUCAUAAUAACUUAACGAAUCGCAUGGCCUUGCGCCGGCGAUGGUUCAUUCAAAUUUCUGCCCUAUCAACUUUCGAUGGUAGGAUAGUGGCCUACCAUGGUGGCAACGGGUAACGGGGAAUUAGGGUUCGAUUCCGGAGAGGGAGCCUGAGAAACGGCUACCACAUCCAAGGAAGGCAGCAGGCGCGCAAAUUACCCAAUCCCGAUACGGGGAGGUAGUGACAAUAAAUACUGAUACGGGGCUCUUUUGGGUCUCGUAAUUGGAAUGAGAACAAUUUAAAUCCCUUAACGAGGAACAAUUGGAGGGCAAGUCUGGUGCCAGCAGCCGCGGUAAUUCCAGCUCCAAUAGCGUAUAUUAAAGUUGUUGCAGUUAAAAAGCUCGUAGUUGAACCUUGGGUCUGGCUGGCCGGUCCGCCUCACCGCGAGUACUGGUCCGGCUGGACCUUUCCUUCUGGGGAACCUCAUGGCCUUCACUGGCUGUGGGGGGAACCAGGACUUUUACUGUGAAAAAAUUAGAGUGUUCAAAGCAGGCCUUUGCUCGAAUACAUUAGCAUGGAAUAAUAGAAUAGGACGUGUGGUUCUAUUUUGUUGGUUUCUAGGACCGCCGUAAUGAUUAAUAGGGAUAGUCGGUGGCGUCAGUAUUCAGCUGUCAGAGGUGAAAUUCUUGGAUUUGCUGAAGACUAACUACUGCGAAAGCAUUCGCCAAGGAUGUUUUCAUUAAUCACGUAACGAAAGUUAGGGGAUCGAAGACGAUCAGA